AUUGAACGCUGGCGGCAUGCCUUACACAUGCAAGUCGAACGGUAGCGGGCCUUCGGGUGCCGACGAGUGGCGAACGGGUGAGUAAUGUAUCGGAACGUACCUUUCAGUGGGGGAUAACGUAGCGAAAGUUACGCUAAUACCGCAUAUUCUGUGCGCAGGAAAGCAGGGGAUCGCAAGACCUUGCGCUGAUUGAGCGGCCGAUAUCAGAUUAGCUAGUUGGUGAGGUAAAGGCUCACCAAGGCGACGAUCUGUAGCGGGUCUGAGAGGAUGAUCCGCCACACUGGAACGGAGCCACGGUCCAGACUCCUACGGGAGGCAGCAGUGGGGAAUUUUGGACAAUGGGGGCAACCCUGAUUCAGCCAUGCCGCGUGAGUGAAGAAGGCCUUCGGGUUGUAAAGCUCUUUCGGCCGGGAAGAAAUCGUAUCAGCUAAUACCUGGUGCGGAUGACGGUACCGGCAUAAGAAGCACCGGCUAACUACGUGCCAGCCGCCGCGGUAAUAC
rnacentral:rRNA from 1 species